UUAACUCAGUCAAAGCGAUCC
ensembl:piRNA 21ur-4149 ncRNA